rnacentral:rRNA from 1 species
UGGUGGGGGGGGUUUGGUGUUGGAGGGGGGGGGAGGGUGGGGGGGUGCGGACGGCAUAUCGUCGGCAGCGUCAGAUGGGUAUAAGGGACAGGUCGGAGCUUUUUAGACCGUUCGCGGUUUAGAUGGUGACGGCGUACCUUUUGUAUAAUGGGUCAGCGAGUUAAUUUCUGUGGCAAGCUUAACUUUUUUAAGGUAGGCGAAGGGAAACCGAGUCUUAAUAGGGCGAAUCAGUCUCAGGUAUUAGACGCGAAACCGGACGAUCUAUCCAUGGCCAGGGUGAAGGUGAGGUAACACUUACUGGAGGCCCGAACCCACCUAUGUUGAAAAAUGGGGGGAUGAGCUGUGGAUCGGAGUGAAAGGCUAAUCAAGUUCGGAGAUAUCUCGUUCUCCCCGAAAUCUAUUUAGGUAGAGCCUCUCAUAUUACUGUUGGGGGUAGAGCACUGUUUCGGCUAGGGGGUCAUCCCGACUUACCAACCCGAUGCAAACUCCGAAUACCAACAAGUACAGUGAGGGAGACAGACUGCGGGUGCUAACGUCCGUAGUCGAGAGGGAAACAACCCAGAUCGCCAGCUAAGGUCCCAAAGUAUGAUUAAGUGGGAAACGUAGUAGGAAGGCAUAAACAGCUAGGAGGUUGGCUUAGAAGCAGCCACCCUUUAAAGAAAGCGUAACAGCUCACUAGUCGAGUCGGCCUGCGCGGAAGAUGUACCGGGGCUAAAUCAUACACCGAAGCUGCGAAUAGAAAUACGGUUCGCCGUAUUCCUAUGGUAGGGGAGCGUUCUGUAUGCCACUGAAGGUAAAUCGAGAGGUUUAUUGGAGGUAUCAGAAGUGAGAAUGCUGACAUAAGUAACGAUAAGAGGGGUGAAAAACCCCUCCGCCGAAAACCCAAGGUUUCCUGUUCAACGUUAAUCGGAACAGGGUGAGUCGACCCCUAAGGCGAGGGCGAAAGCCGUAGUCGAUGGGAAAUAGGUUAAUAUUCCUAUACUUCUUGUUACUGCGAUGGAGUGACGGAGAAGGCUAGGCCAGCACAGCGACGGUAGUUCUGUGUUUAAAGUUGUAGGUUGGAGAUUUAGGUAAAUCCGGAUCUCUAAGACCGAGAACUGAUGACGAUUAUCUUUUCGGAGAUAAGAAGUGGUUGAUGCCAUGCUUCCAGGAAAAACUUCUAAGCUAUAGGUAGCAAGGAAUCGUACCGCAAACCGACACAGGUGGGUAGGUAGAGAAUACUAAGGCGCUUGAGAGAACUCGGGUGAAGGAACUAGGCAAAAUGGUACCGUAACUUCGGGAGAAGGUACGCCUUUAUUGGUGAUGAAACUUGCUUUCUGAGCUGAUGAGGGUCUCAGUAGAAUGGUGGCUGCGACUGUUUAUUAAAAACACAGCACUCUGCAAACUCGAAAGAGGAAGUAUAUGGUGUGACGCCUGCCCGGUGCCGGAAGGUUAAUUGAUGGGGUUAGUCUUCGGACGAAGCUCUUGAUCGAAGCCCCGGUGAACGGCGGCCGUAACUAUAACGGUCCUAAGGUAGCGAAAUUCCUUGUCGGGUAAGUUCCGACCUGCACGAAUGGCGUAACGAUGGCCACACUGUCUCCACCAGAGACUCAGUGAAAUUGAAAUCGCUGUUAAGAUGCAGCGUACCCGCGGCAAGACGGAAAGACCCCGUGCACCUUUACUA